GCCGCAAUCUUGGUUAGUCGCGCGAGUCGCGGCCGGGCCGGCAUAUCCGGCGACGCGACCGUUACGUUUUAGAACGUUCGAGUAGUUGGUCGCGUUCGGGUUGCAACUCGCGUUUCUUCCCGGCCCUCUCGCUGAUAUCGCAAGCGAUAGUCGUCCGUCGGUGUCGCACUUCCACUCUCACGAUUUUGUCGAAAAAAGCGCUGCUGCUACCUUCAUUGGGCACUAAAAUGCCAGACCUGCAUCUCAGGUCGCAGCUGCCAACAGCGGGGCAUCGGUGCCCGCACCUGGACAAAGCGCGAAGCGCUCGGAGAGCGAAUUACCAUCGGGAGCCGAGCUACCUAGUAGCUGAUAGCUAACCUCGCUUAUGAACAAGUUGUACUCUAUCCAGCGUCAACAAGCGCCUGUUCGGGUAUGAGCGGCUAAAGUGGAACCGAUUACCCUGAAAGGAAGAAAAACCCUGCCGAAAUCGUUCGAGCUGGUUUAUGGGCUUACUGAAAUCCAAACAGUCUUGAAGAAAUGCAAGCUUGUCCCAACCAGCUGAGUCAUUAAAUACUUGAGAGUUUUCAGUAUAUUUACGUCAGAUAAAAAGAUAAAAGAAAAUAUAUUCGAAUAAAAGAUGAUUUUGGUCUAUAGGUUAAGAAUAUGCUAUGCAGCAUAUAAAUAAAAAAAUUAGUCAAUAGAAAUUCAA